rnacentral:rRNA from 1 species
CUAGGUCUCAGUUCAGAUUGCAGGCUGCAACCCGCCUGCAUGAAGUCGGAAUUGCUAGUAAUCGCGGAUCAGCAUGCCGCGGUGAAUACGUUCCCGGGCCUUGUACACACCGCCCGUCACACCAUGGGAGCCGGUAAUACCCGAAGUCAGUAGUCCAACCUCGCGAGGACGCUGCCGAAGGUAGGAUUGGCGACUGGGGUGAAGUCGUAACAAGGUAUC